rnacentral:misc_RNA from 1 species
GUGCAGGCUUUUGCCGCAGUGGA